rnacentral:rRNA from 1 species
ACUAAGGUUUCCAGAGGAAGGCUCGUCCGCUCUGGGUUAGUCGGGUCCUAAGCUGAGGCCGACAGGCGUAGGCGAUGGAUAACAGGUUGAUAUUCCUGUACCACCUAUAAUCGUUUUAAUCGAUGGGGGGACGCAGUAGGAUAGGCGAAGCGUGCGAUUGGAUUGCACGUCUAAGCAGUAAGGCUGAGUAUUAGGCAAAUCCGGUACUCGUUAAGGCUGAGCUGUGAUGGGGAGAAGACAUUGUGUCUUCGAGUCGUUGAUUUCACACUGCCGAGAAAAGCCUCUAGAUAGAAAAUAGGUGCCCGUACCGCAAACCGACACAGGUAGUCAAGAUGAGAAUUCUAAGGUGAGCGAGCGAACUCUCGUUAAGGAACUCGGCAAAAUGACCCCGUAACUUCGGGAGAAGGGGUGCUCUUUAGGGUUAACGCCCAGAAGAGCCGCAGUGAAUAGGCCCAAGCGACUGUUUAUCAAAAACACAGGUCUCUGCUAAACCGUAAGGUGAUGUAUAGGGGCUGACGCCUGCCCGGUGCUGGAAGGUUAAGAGGAGUGGUUAGCUUCUGCGAAGCUACGAAUCGAAGCCCCAGUAAACGGCGGCCGUAACUAUAACGGUCCUAAGGUAGCGAAAUUCCUUGUCGGGUAAGUUCCGACCCGCACGAAAGGCGUAACGAUUUGGGCACUGUCUCAACGAGAGACUCGGUGAAAUCAUAGUACCUGUGAAGAUGCAGGUUACCCGCGACAGGACGGAAAGACCCCGUGGAGCUUUACUGUAGCCUGAUAUUGAAAUUCGGCACAGCUUGUACAGGAUAGGUAGGAGCCUUUGAAACGUGAGCGCUAGCUUACGUGGAGGCGCUGGUGGG